rnacentral:tRNA from 1 species
GCCUUUGUAGUUCAAUGGAUAGAACAAGCCUCUCCUAAAGGUUAGAUAGGGGUUCGAUUCCCCUCGGAGGUACCA